AGUGUGCUCUUAGUUUUGGGGGUAGAUUCCUGUGGUUCAUCACUUACAUACAAUACCUAGUGCUCAUCCCAACAAAAAAAUGCUAUUUUAAAAAGCUGGUUGCUUUUUGAGUUGGAAUCUAAGGACAAUAAAAUUAGAGUCUUUUUCUUUCUUGGGGUAUUUUGUUUUUUUUUUUUUUCUUUUUCGGUUUGGUCAAGGUAAAGGGCUAAUUGAGAUACGAGUGGUUAGGACCUGGGGACUAAAAUUGCUCUGCAUAAAGAAAUAAGAACUUUUUGUUUUUAAUUGAGGCUGGAGGGAAAUUUUUUUAUUUUGCUUUUGUUUGGGCAGGAGUGGUGAGAGAGUGGGCCCUAGCAGUAGGGUAGACAUGAGAAGUUGCUCCUCCAGUGGCGAGAAGGAAGGGGGCGUGAGCUUUGAUGUCUGAUUGUCUAUUUUAAGUAGUUUCCUAUUCGCCAUUAGAAUCUUUCUCUGGUAAAGAUGUGCUCGCAUGACACCCAGAUGUUCAUGUGUUUUGGAGACUGAAUAGAGAGGGCUGCAUCAGCAGUAGGGGUGAAGUGAAAUAGAAGGGAGAUGAUGAGAAUUGGGUUGCAGUUGGGGUUUAGGAUCAAAAGUAACAAGGAAUCAUUGGGCACUUUUUAGCACCCUCCCUAGGAUCCUUGAAAUCAUUAAGGAGAGGGCUGGGUCCCAACAGUUAUGUGAGAUCUGGUCUAAAAUAGGCAUUUGAAUGUUAAAUGAAAGAUAGUAUACUUUGGGAGCAUGCAGAUGUCAGGGAGAAUAAUCUACUGACCAGGGUUGGAAGGUGUAAAUGUGGAUGUAGGUGAAGGCACUUCAUAAACUAGGGAAACACAUGAUCUUACACAAGAUAAAACGUCUUUCCAUGAAGAAUAUUUUGAAGUCAUAUUUGAAUUCAACACUGAUCAUGAAUAUAAGAAUAAUUAUCUGGAAGUCAUGAGCUAUGAUAGUUUUCUUUCUGUGUGAAGUCAGUUCAGACUGAUAGUUAAAACACAAUUUGGAUGUUAGAGAUACAAUUUGAAAAAAUGGCUCCAUGUGACCCAGUGUUUCAUGUUAAGAUGUGAGAUUUAGGAUCCCAUGGUAUAUCAGGCCCAUUUAGUGGGAACAGAAAGCAGCUUUGGUCAUUUAAUAUUUAGCUGAGACUAUGGAUAGGUAUGAGAAAAAGGAAGUGAUGAUGUUGCAAAGCAACGGGAAAGAGCAUGUAUAGGAUAUAUAUACUAGACACUCAACAUAUAUUGUCUUUACUGCUCAUUCUUGUCCAAAGAAGUGGUGAUACGUCCAUUCUUUAGAUGGGGGUGGGGGAAAGGUGACAUUUACACUGAUGGAAGGAUUUGCUCCAAGUUAUAGCGCUGAAGUGGCAGAACUCCUGCAGACUGUCACCAAGGUCAAGGUCCUUGUUAUGUUCAUCUCACCAUGCUGCCAUGUGGGCUCUGAAUACAUCAGUUCUUAGCCUCCAAGCCUUGUGUGCUUCCAGACUCCUUGUCCCCGUUUCACACCACAUCUCCAUUAUUUUUCUUCAUGAGAAUUUUUAAAGAAGGCUUCUGACAAGACUUGAUGAGAUGCUACAGCUGACAAGCAUGUGAAAAAGGAUGAAAUAACUUGAGGUCUGGAGUGAACAGUUACAUUCCUGGAUUGUUGAAAGGCCCAUUCUUUACAUGGGAUCAACCAUCUUUGGUGAGGCUGGGUGGAUGAUGCAGUUUCACUUCUAGGUGUUAGGAUUCUCUUUCACACUGGUUUGUCAUGACCUUAAAGUAUUUUAAGUUUCUCCUUUGCUUUGUGUUCACGCCCAAACUCCAAGGGUAGGAUCUACCACAUAGAGGGUGGAGUGGCAUUCCAAUUCCAUUUAUUUUCUGCUGAAGCUGGCACGUUGAAUGAAGAUUUAUAUCUUAAGUGACAGGAUUCAGACGAAACACGACAAACCUGUAAAAUCUGCAACGUGGACGUGUCAAUGCAGAACUUUCCGAUGAACUGGAUGGGACCAGGAAGACAAACCACACACACUGUCACGUUGUGCUGGGCAGCAUGACAGAUCAAAGAGAAUCCCAAGGAAGAGCAAGUCCUUGCUGGCUGCAGUGCACGUGGUGGGGGGUUCAGCACAGACUGCUGUUUGGUUUACGGAUUCAGGUGUGUGUCUAUCUUGGGCCUGCCUUUUUAUGGAAAAAUUUUGUGGAGAUACACUGCACUGACUGGAAAAUUAUUCACUUGUUUUUUAAUCAAAUUUAUCGAGUGGAAGCAUUGGUUAUGAAACUAGUCAUUUCACUGGACUUUAAUCCUGACCUAGUUGCCAACAUGGGGUGGUAAUUAUUCUUAUUUACCAAAGCAUAGAGAGAAUCUGUGUUAAAAGAGCAACCUAGGCAGGCACUGCUUUGAGGAGGGAACAAGUUUUACCACCUUAGGAGAGAUGAAUUAGUUUUGUGAAACAUCUCUGUCUUGCUGAAGGACUCCAACCACUGGAUAUGAAUGGAAGCGUGAGGCAACUUUGUACUGCAGACAGCAAGUUAAAGCCCUCCGCCCCCCCACGCCCAGGAAAGCUCAGGAGUCAGGGGCCUCAGCGGAGCACACUCCUGACUUUACCACUGUGUGCCAUGGUGCUCCUGACAGCCUGGUUGGCCGUCACUCAUCUAGAAGAAUGAAUGAACCUCGUAUUAAGCGCUCCUUGCUGUUGGUUCAAGUAGAUCUCCUCAGAGUUCUCACUAAUCAGAGCAAAGAUGAGGAGAACAGAUAUGUGAAAACAUUUAAGCUUGGCAUUGCCACUGAAAGGCAGCUAAGGUUCCCACCGUCUUUGGCAGAUUUGAUUCCUGGACUCCCACAGAAGGAUUUCAGAGAAGUCUUUGAACAAAUGCAAGAGGCACAAACUUCACCUAACAACUGUUUACUGAACAUGUGUAACUUCUGUGCCUGGCAUAGGGCUGAGUGCUGAGGGUCUGAAGCAAGACAGGUCCCUGCCCCCAAGGUGCUGUAGUGCACAGCCUGCAGUCACGGGGCAGGUCUUAGGGCAUGGUUCUUCACUUGUGAGGGACUCCAGAGCUGUGAGUGCCUAAUGAGAACCUGCUGAUCAAGUGAACGGGGCUGACCAGUAUCAGGAUGGCUGCUACUGGCAUCUGUGCAACUCGUCUCCACGGUGAAGAAGAUGAUGGACUCAGAUCCUCUUUGUUUUUGCUCUAUUUGUGCUUCUGUACAUGAGAUACCGGUAACUCUGGAGCAUGAAGGCCUUUCCCAAGGAGUACAUAAAGCCACAGACAGAAAAGAAUGCAUCUUUCUUAGAAUGUCCAUAUCAUUCAAUGAUGAAUUAUGGAAAAGACUUUUAUAUUGAACUCCAAAUAUGCCCUGCGACAUAACAUGAAAUUAAAUCAAAAUUUCAAAAUAAAAUCUAAGAUUUUAAAGAAGUGUCAUAUUUGCCGCCUAAGGCCACUUUGGGCCAUGUGCCCUGAUCCCAGGGAUAAACCUUCAUUCUGCAUCUCAGGAGAAUCCUUCAUUGUAGAGCUAGGACAAGGAUUUCCUGGUCUAGAUAGUGACUGGUUACCUACCACCUUACAGGCUCUCCCUCGAUGCCUUCCUCCAACUCUACUAUCUAACAAUGAAGUCUAACGUGGGGGAAUCCCACUAAAAUCCUAAACCAGAGGAAACAAGGUCAACUGCAGGAAUUCAGGCACUGUCUGCCCCGGUCCUUCUACAAUCCAGCCCGUGCAGUUCCCGUCACAGCAAGUGCUUCCUCUGUCAGAGCAGACAAACUGACUGAAGCCACAGCCGGAAGCACGCUGACCACAAGUGCUAAAGUUCUGGUUCAACUGAAGAGGCUGUUCUAAGAAAGACUACUGAGGUAAUCAGUCACCUUCCUCAGAGAAAGUCUGCUCAGGUAGUCUUGUUUAGUUUACCACGUAAACAAUGGAACAUUUACUGUUGAAUCCUUUAUUCUUUUAUAGCCUGAUGGGAGACUUGACAUUUUUUGGUGGGGGCAUGACGGACAAAGAGACCUGGGACUUCUCUUUCCUUCAUAGUCCCCUCUGAGGAGAUCAAAGAAGGUAAACACUGUCCUUUCGAUCAGACGGCAAGUGUGUUUCUGACACACCAGGGUUUCCCAGAAUGCCUAGGGACACCCGGGAUGAGAGCGCAGAGGAGGCAGGGGAGGACUGAAGAUCAUCCUUUAACUUUCCCAAAGCAGGAAUAUAGGACACUUAAUAAACCUUAAAUCACUUGCCCCUUUUGUAGGGAGGGGUGAUUAUUUUUUACUGAACGGGACUAAAAUAAUCCGUAGAGCUCACUUUUUUAAGAUCACAGCAAAAAAUAGAACCCCAAAUCUGUUGCUUUCGGUGAACAACGGUGAUAAUGAUCUCUAUGCUCAGUGACUCUAAAAGCUAUUUAUAGCAAUUAUUAUACAUUCAGAAAAAACUAAACUAAAAAAUGGAUCCCAGGUAUGGACAUGGUAAAAAAAUCAUGGGGUUGGGGAGAGGGAGGGAUGAAUACAUAGGGGGAGCACAGAGGCUUUUUAGAGCAGUGAAGCUAUUCUGUUUGCUGCUGUAAUGGUGGAUACAUGGCAUUAUACAUGUGUCAAAACCUAUAGAAGGUAUAACACCAAGAGUGAAUCCUAAUGUAAAUUCUGGUCUGUAGCUAAUAAUAAUGUGUCAUCUUGGUUCAUCAGUGGAAACAAACAUACCACAGUAAUGCAACAUGUUAAUAACAGGAGAAACUGGGUGGGAGUGAGGCAGGGAGGGGCGAGUGUACAGGAACUCUGUGCUUUCUGCUCUGUUUUUAUGUAAACCUAAAAGUGCUGUAAAAAAUAAAGUCUAUUAAAAACAAUAGAUCCCA